AAGUCGUAACAAGGUUUCCGUAGGUGAACCUGCGGAAGGAUCAUUAAACAAAAUAUGCGCCGUUGUAGCGUCUGAAACAAUCGUAUCCGUUAGGAUGCGAUUGAUUCAGACCUACUAGGUGCAUCAACUCUAGAUCAUGCAUCAAGUGAUCAAUCGCUAUCGCAAUUGCUCACUUGAUGCAUGAUGCCUGAAUUGAUGCUAAUGAUAAAUACACUAUCCUUACGGAUACUGUAUUUAUCAUGACACAACUGUGAUGAGACUAUUGCUCGUUAGCCGUAAUAGCGUCUUCGACACUAUCACGACUAUUCGCAAUAGUCUCAUGCAGAUACACGAUUAAAAAUUGACAAAAAAAGACAACCAAAAAAAUUCACUUUUAACAAUGGAUCUCUUGGCUCUU
rnacentral:misc_RNA from 1 species